rnacentral:lncRNA from 1 species
CGACGAUAAAUCAGCUUUGCACGAAAUGAGAGUAGCGAAGCGCUUAAUAUUGGUAUUUGCCGAGCUGUGAGAACAUCUAAAUUUUUGAAUGGAUGAAAACAUCUUACAAGUUAACAUGCACAGGCUGUCCUGAGAGACUAUUAAAGGAGGAUUGUAAGAGAGGAAUAUGCCAACAAGAACUGCAAUUAGGAGUGGUUGACAGGAGGAAACUUUUUAAAAGAGACCACACACUACCUCAUCAACGUGCUUGAAGAUGAUCUGAGCCUGAAGAGGGACAAAGGGCCUAGUGAUAGACUACCUUUCUCUCUGCAAGUAUUGACAAUUCUGCUUUUGUAUGGUGAUAAUUUCAGGGAAUACGUGGUGAUGAGGCAUCAGUGUUGCAAUUAUCUGUUUGUGAGUGAUCAAAGAUGUUUCACAAGCCAUAGCAGGAAAAAAGAGGUUUUGUGAGAACUUCAACAACCAGAGAUGAGAUUGAGACUACCCAACAACAACUGUGUGAGUGAUCGAUGGGACCCAUGUCUAUACAAGAAUUCCUGGAGGGAAACAAGCCUUGUACUUUCCUGAAGGGCAAGUCCACCCCAACAAAAAGUUUCUUUGAUAUAAUACAGAAAAGUCCAAUGAGCAUAACACUAAACAUUUCAUCAAAAUUUGAUGUAAAAUGAGAAAGUGUUGACAUUUUGAAGUUUCGCUUAUUUUCACAAAACAGACAUCCUGGUCAGUAUGCAAAUGAGUGACAAAGUGACGUUCUCCACUCAGUGUUUCUUUUGUAAUAUACUAGUAUCAUGAUUUUUUUCCCCUCAUAAUGUGUAUAAAGUACAGGUGAGAUAUGGUUUGAUUUCUCCCUGAAACUUUUGUAAAAAGCCAUUGUGGCAACCUAUACUCAAUUCGAUGAGUUUUCUCAUAAUUCUGUAAAAAAUCAAGCAUUAUAAUAUAUUUCUACAGAAGAAAGAGUGAGUGUGUGACAUAGACUUGUUUGCAUAUCACCUGUUUUAUCACUUGAUUAAUUAAUUUCUUAUUUUACAUCCUAUUUUGAUGUUUUCCGUGUCAUGCAUGUUUUAUUUAUCUCUAUUCCAUUCACAUUAACUUUUUUUUUGUACAGUGGACUUGCUCUAGAACAGGUAUUUUUGUAAUGUACAAGUAAGAAUUUCAUUAUUUACUUGUGUCUUCUUUUUUAACACUUGUUUUUACAGGGGUGGGGGGUUGCAUCAACCUCCCUUGAGAUCUCUGCCAAUGAUCACAUUAACGCCUUGAAAAUUGGUAUGAUAAUAGUGGGGGAUGUCUUGUGCAAUGCUGUUUGGUUAAUUUUUCCGAAAUCGUCAGAUCUUUUACAUUAAUUAAUUAUGCUAAUUUCUGCAUAAAUCAUACUUUUAUACCAUUGCUAACAAUCAAAAUGAAAAAAAAAAAUCCUAGAUUGAAAAUGAAUUUGUUAUGUAUUCUAUUGUUUUAUGAAUUUCUUAUGUAUAUCUUUGUGUUUUGCCAAAAUUAUUGGAGGACAUUUUUUUGAAGCAUAAUUAUGCUGAAAUCAAGUAAUUUCACCUGUGAAAGUAAAAAUAAUCAUGUCCAUAUGAAGAAGAUGAGAAAAUUCAACAUUGGCUUUGUACACAAAAUCACGUUUUGGAGCAAUUUUGGGUCUGACAUGCACUUAUGUAAAGUUGAGUAAUUUUCCAACAGCAUGCCCAUGCAUCGUAAAUUUGAUCUCAAAAGAUGUGCAUGACUUCAAAGUAAAAAGUUGGCGAGUAGAAUGGUCGUAAAAUUUCGCACAGCGGAAUAGUUGUGGAAUAUGUUGAGGGAGGGGGUUAAUUCACCCUACCCCCACCAUAGUUCUAUGCCCCCCCUAGGGGGUUUACAUGUAGGGUUAAAAGAGCACAUUAUUACUUACAAUUUCACAUGAAUACAAGUAUUUGAAAUUAACUUUUAUCAGAUUUAGUUUCUUUCAGACUACAUGUAUCUUCAAUUAUUUUUUCAUUAAAAAAAAACGCUAUUUAAUCAGGACGCAUCAAAUGCAAAUUCCUCAUUUACUUUUUCAUGUGAAAUAUUCUCACAUAAUUUAAAUUGUCUAUUUCAAAUGCUUAAGAUUAAAACUUUGAUAGCUCACAGAAAUACGUGUAUGUGUCCAUGGGGGUCAUCGAUUCUAAUUGAUCUUUCUUUGUUUUUUGCUUCAGUUGUGUUUACACUUUGUACAGAUAACCAUUGGGGAUUAAAUACCAUAUGCAUGUCCAAGAGGAUAAUAAGGUCAAAAGAUCAUAUAGCAUACACUUUAGUUUGAUUGUGAUAUCAGGCGAGACUGGUGGUUCACCUUGUUUUUUGUUGAAAUGUAUUCUUUUCAAGUGUCCCCAAGGCAACAGCCUAGCUAGGGCAACCAGGUAGCCUUAUGAGUAGAGCUCAACUCUGGCAAACAGGAAAACACUAGCUUGGCCUGGCACAUGCACAUUUAGGGAGCAUGAAUGAAACAAAUUAAAAGGGCAAUUAAUGCAUUUUCUUGGAAAAAAAAUAUAAUUUCAAUUGACCCCAAAGGAUAACCUGAUGGCCUAGUUUGGGAAACCAGGUAGCCUCACAAGUAGAGCUUGAGUCAGGCAACCAGAAAAAUACCAGCUAAUAAUUAACAAUAAUAAUUAUUCAUUUGGGCCAUUAUUGUAUUGUAAUACAAGAAUGAUGUGGCAAUAUAUCAAAACUUAGACCUUAUUAUUUCACAAAUGUUUGUAAUUUUGCAAUGUUUUUUAAAAUGCCAAUUGAUUAUUAGAUUUUCAGUGUGUUUAUUUUUAUGUAAUUUCCUGGUGUGAUUUUCCAAGGUGCAGGAUGGUUUCAUGCAAAUUAAAGAUAUACAGAAAUGAUAAAA